rnacentral:lncRNA from 14 species
GUAGCCGUAGGUGAGCUGGGGAGUAACAAGGCAGAUUUCUGCCAGGACCUUGUCUCACAUGAAGCAUUCCUUCAGAGGCAAAGCUCUGUAUGAAACAUUGACAACUGGGCAAAUUCGGGGAUCAAACAACGAGCAUUCCAUGGUCCUGCUUGAGCUCAAUGCUGAAGUGCAUUCCUGGUUCUCUUUGGUUUUAGAGACACUGCUGCAGAUUGCCAGCUAUGGUUGGAAAGCAGUUGAGGUAGCAGAGGAGAGAAGAAUCCUACCCAUAUGGGGAGGUAAAAUCUGA